rnacentral:rRNA from 1 species
UACAGAGGUGGCGAGCGUUGUUCGGAUUUACUGGGCGUAAAGGGCGCGUAGGCGGCGGGUCAAGUCGAGUGUGAAAGCCCCGGGCUCAACCUGGGAAUUGCGCUCGAGACUGGUCUGCUUGAGUUCGGGAGAGGAGAGUGGAAUUCCCAGUGUAGAGGUGAAAUUCGUAGAUAUUGGGAAGAACACCGGUGGCGAAGGCGGCUCUCUGGACCGAGACUGACGCUGAGGCGCGAAAGCGUGGGGAGCAAACAGG